rnacentral:lncRNA from 1 species
CUCUCCCUUUUCAGACACAACUCCAUCCCAACAAGAUGAUCUGCUACAGCCUUCUGGGAUCUUCUGAUCCAUGUUGCGGUGCAGGAAACAGCAGGGACAAAGGGUCUUGUCACCCCUGUGGGCAAUCCUCUGGGGAUGCCUAUCACUGUAGUCCUUGCUCUCCUUGUCACAACUCCAGACCAAGCUGUGGCUUCCCUUGCUCCAGUUAUGGACAUCAAUCACCCUGCACUGACACCACAUCCAGCUGUGGGUUCCCAAGACAGAGCACCUGUAGACCCUGCAAGGUCAGCGAUUCCAGAUGUUCUUCCUCUGGCUACAGCACCAAAUCCAAUCAUUGUUCUCCUUACUACAGUUCCGGGUCGAAAUGCGCUCCUCCUUGCUAUAGCUACAACCAGCACCGUACUUGUUACAGCCCUGGAUCCAUCUGCUACAGGCCUUUCUGUGACGACAACCCAUGCUCUCCUUGCUACAGCACCAAAUCCGUCUGUUGUAGCCCUUGCUACAGCUGCAACGAGUGCAGCCCUUGCGAUGGCUACAAGCAGUGCAGCCCUCGCUACAGCUACAAGUGGUGCAGCCCUUGCUCCAGCUCUGGAUACACCUGCUAUGGUCCUAACUAUAGCUACAGCCACUGCUCCCCUUACUACAAGGGGUCCACCUGUGACAGCCGUUGCUACAGCUACAAGCAGUGCAACCCUUGCUACAGCUGCAACGAGUGCAGCCCUUGCGAUGGCCACAAGCGGUGCAGCCCUUGCUCCAGCUCUGGAUACACCUGCUAUGGUCCUAACUAUAGCUACAGCCACUGCUCCCCUUACUACAAGGGGUCCACCUGUGACAGCCGUUGCUACAGCUACAAGCAGUGCAACCCUUGCUACAGCUGCAACGAGUGCAGCCCUUGCGAUGGCUACAAGUGGUGCAGCCCUUGCUCCAGCUCUGGAUACACCUGCUAUGGUCCUAACUAUAGCUACAGCCACUGCUCCCCUUACUACAAGGGGUCCACCUGUGACAGCCGUUGCUACAGCAACAAGCAGUGCGACCUUUGCUAUGAUGUUGUA